rnacentral:sRNA from 3 species
AUAUCUCUCUGUACGGGAAGGAUGAGAAGCUUCGACUAAGGUUCGAUUCGAGCGUCAGCGAGAAAGCGUUGCCGCAGGCAACGACCCGAAGGGCGAAGCGCGCAGCGC